UGAUGGGGAACCUUUGAAAGACCAUCACAUGGUUUGCGACAUAGCGGUGUCCUCAGUAAAAAAGCAAAUGUGUUGGUAGAAGAAAAAGAAAGGUAUCAGGACUGGGAUUCAAGCAUCUUUGGAAGAGUUAAUCUCUCUACAAAAUAGAGAAGUGCAUGAAACUGAAAAAGCAUUUUGUUUUAAACUUGGGAUGAAACAGCCCAGUCAGAAUGUUUCUUCUGUCUUGAAUUCAGUGAAACAAAAUGUGGAGCGCAGGUGUCGUGGGCUCUGUCAGAAUAAAUCUUCAAAAUGUUUGAAGCUAUUCCUUCAUUGUUGACCUAAAGAAAAAUUAUGUUUUUGAAAACUUAAAAUUCCCAUAGGAAACAAUGAGAACAAUUAAGCAAAGAAGUAAGUCCCCCAUUCAUACACAGGCUUCUCUCUGGCUGUUGGUCUGAUAAAGGCUUCUUUGUGACUAUAUUAAAAAAAACAACCUAAGUGUGCUUUUCCAUUAUAAAUCUGGCUUGUCUCUAAUAGCCCUCAUCAAAUAAUCCAAGCAGAAUUUGCAUAUGUAUCAACUGCCUCCAAAGGAGAGCUCUCAGUAGCUACAGAACACAUGCUGUUGCAUUUCAAAAUGGAAACUUGUAAAACUCUUAUAAAAGCAAUUUAAUUUGUCUACCAAUCAAAAUACAUGUAGUCCUUGCUUAACAAUCACAAUUGGGACCAGGAUUUAGGUCACUAAGUGAUGUGGUCAUUAAGCAAAUCUGGACCCGAUUUUAUGACCGUUUUUGCAGCAGCCGUUAAGCAAAUCAAGCAGUUCCCUAUUGCUUUUGCUUAUCGGAAGCCUACUGGGAAGGUCAGAAAUGGCGAUCAGGUACCCAUGGGAUGCUGCAACCGUCAUAAAUGCUCAGUGGUUGCCAAGCACCCGAAUCGUGAUCACAUGACUACGGGGACACUGCAGUGGUCGUAAGUGCAAGGAACUAUUUAAGUCAGUUUUUUCCAGCACUGUCACAACUCCAGUCAGUCGCUAAA